UACACUGUGUGUGACAAGGUGUAAGGGCUAGCCAGAGAGCCAGGUGGGCUGUUUCCCUGGAUGAGAACUGUGUCACCCCCUCCCUUUUGGAACUUGGAAAAAAAAGUUCUAGGACUGAAGUGAGGAUCUAGACGUGGGGAGACCUGUGACAUUCUCUCCCAUUAUGGCUAGUAUCUCUUUUACUCCAAAGAUAAAAUAAUAAGGUAGUUUCAGAAACUCUUUGUAGUUCCGCUCCCCUUUCCCAGUCUGAGCUACCCUCACUGACCUGAACUUCCAGGUCUCCCCCACCCCCAACCAGGUGAUAUCCCACCUCGCCACUCCCUAAACUCAGCAAGUGUUGAAGACACAUACACCAUGUCUGAGAGACUGGCAUCCACCAACACCCCUACUUAGAGUAGUCUAGAGUGACUUGGGGUUGGCCAGGUAAGAAGUGGCUUGGUUUCCUAAAUACAUCAGAUUAGUGGUGGCCAGGCCACUGUGAAUCCAGAAGACAGCCCCAGGGUCACACCAAGUAUCUUGUAUGUGCCAGCUGGGCAUGCAAGCUUUCAGGCUGGACACUUCCCAAGCAGGUGAGACUUAGAGCACUUGACCACAUUCUUUUCAGGCACCCAAUGAGCCAGAAAACCAGUGCCUGGGUCUUGCUGUUUUGUUCCCAGGGAUAUGGAAAUAAUUUUAGGGCAGUUUCGCUAGCUGAGGAAAUAGAUGAACCAGUUUGGUAACUAACCCAGGUGAAAGCUCCUGGGAUUUUUGACCUAGGAGUCAUCUUAACAUCUUGCUUUCCUUCCUUCCCUGCCCCACACUGUUUCUCUUCCACAAGCCCAUUCCGUCCAAAGAGGAGAAAAGGGUCCUUUAUCUGAGGACUGCUUCUCAACAGAAGGAAGUCUGCAGCCUCACAGGUGCAGAACUUUCUUACAACAGAGCUCCUAGGGAUGCUAGUCCCCUACCUGAGGCCUCUUAGAGUGCUUGGGGCUGUGGAGCCGCUAUUUCUCUGUAGCCAGCCCCGCAGGAGUUAAACCCCCAGACAGACAAAAGCGAGGCCGCGGCGGCUGUCAGCCGCAAAUAGAACCGCUGCCCUCUGGACUUUAACUCCCGACAGAAAGGGCAUUUUAUUACAGGCUAUGACAAGUUGCAGGGAGACCGCGGAGAACUCAAUAAGAAGGAGCGGCGAGAGGAAUCAAAAACCCUCGGAAUGUUUGGAAGACUGAGCGAAGAUGGCUCCAAAUGAUAGGCGGGAAUGGACGCUUCGCUCUCCGGAGCUGGUUUCUUCCUGGUCGUCUGUGAGAAGCCGUCUUCCUACAAUCAGCCUUUUGCAAACUUCUCCUAGACUUCAUUCGAGUUAUUUUCCCCCCUCCUUCCUCCGAGUUCCCCUCUUCUCACGAAGUUAGCACAAGAGGGGGGAAAAAGACACCAAGGAAGAGGCAUUUUCUGCUUUUUUCUUCUGGGUUUGCUGCUUAGUAAAGUGGCAUCAGUCUUAGCUGCCCAGGGUCUUUCGGGGAAGUGAUGUCUCAGAGCGGGGAGCCUGUCCUUCUCCCCCUUCCCAGCAGUUCUGUAGGAGCUUUUAAUAACCUAUCUCCCAUGAAAAGACAGAGCUAGCGGGCGUAGAAACUGUCCAGACCUGUAGAACUUGCUCUGCCCUAAAGUGCACUGUGGAGUGAGCCCCCCCCUCGCCCCAACAUAAGCACCCCAACUGGAUGUGGACCUUGUAGGAUUCAGGUUGGCUUGAGGAUGCCAGCUCAGUUGGAGAGCGCUGGAGAAGGCUCAAGGGACUUCUGAGGAACCUUGUAAUACAAAGAGUGAUAUAUGUUUAUCCCAACUUCAUUUUCAGAAUCCCUGCCAAGAAAGGCAGAGUUGGUAGUUGUCAAAGCUGGCAGUGCCCUUCCCACCUCCAACUCAUUUGCUUGAAGGGUUCAGCUCUACCCAACCCCCAAAUUAGAAAGAUUUUUGACACUAAUACUCAGGGCACUGUGCGAACCAUUAAAAAGAAACUGCAGUCCUCCUUCCCCUUCCUUAAAAAAAAAGUUUAUGCAAGUAAAACGUGAGCAAUCUUGUCUAAUUCCAAAAUCAAGGCAGAGAGAGAGAUAUGUUGCAAAUUCAUAGCUUAUGGCUCAAAUGUUUCCCCGCUUCCUGUGUCCUGCUUGAUAACAAAACAAAACAUAACUGAGGCUUCUGGGUUCUUGUUUAAUUGGAGAAAUUGUAAGAAUCCAAGGUUUUAAAAGUUUAUGGUUUCAAAGAGAUCAGAUCUCGGACACAUUUUGCCAGGUCACCUCCCCUGAGCAACAAAACAGUGCCUUUUAACUUUGUUUUCUCAACUCCACCCAACUUUUAUGAUUUUUUUUCUUCUUCUCAGAACUUCCUGUUUUUUCUUUCUGUCAAAGUGUUUCUGAUUUUGGUAAAUACUAAUUAUCCGUUCUCUCCCUGGAACUCUGUUACAUUUCUCUAACCACUUGUAUCAGAGUACAAACAGAUUUCCAUCUCCAGUGUCUGACAAAAGUCGAAGAAAGUUCACGUGGUUAGAACUGAGCCCGAAACAAUGCCCUGGGUAUCCAUUGUGUGCCGAAUCACAGCUGCAAAAAUGGAUAUUAAAAUUAAAUUGCCACAAAAAACAAAGAGGGCUGGGGAAAACACACCACAGAAGAGAACUUUUCCUAACAAGGAAGUUGUAAGAUGAAUGUAAUGGGUGCUGUUUCUUCUUCUGUCAUGAUAUACAACCAGCAAUAACUGGACCAUGAAGAGAAAACUCCAUUUCUCUUCCCUUGUUUUAUUUAGUUAGAAAUCCUUCAGAACUAAACAAAUGUAGAAUGCUUGUUCUUCAAAAGGCUAUCUGCUUACUACUGAUGGGCAAGGCUUUGUAAAAGGGUGUGUUUCUUCUCAUUGAUUAAGUAGCAUAUGAAAUAAUUUAAAAACCCUGUCCAAAAUAAUUUCUUCAACAUUUUGGUUUUGAAAUGGCUGGGAGAGGGUCAUUGUAAACGAAAUGACCCUCCUUGGCAUGGUCUGUGUAAAUGUGUACCCUUAAAUAUCUUUGAGGAUAAUAGGGGCCACAGAGCAAUGCGAGCCAGGUUGGGGAUUGUACUCCCCGACCGACCGACCUUGUGUAUGUCUGGGAAAAGUAAAGGUGCAGCUCAAUCUUCAUAUUUCUUCUUCUCUAUUUCAACAUGGAACCUUAUUUCAAUUUAUACUCCAGAAUAAAACUCGAGUGUACUUUAAA